GUCUUUCAAGACUCCGUCAUCUAGCUUCGGGGGGCGGUGGCGGUGGCGGUGGCGGCGGCGGCGGCUGUCCUGCGACCCGGCCUGGCAGGCUUGCGGCCGCCGCGUUCCUGAAAAGUGCGCCGCGGCGGCCCGCGCCCAGGCCUCCCUCCGCGCGGGACCCCGGAGCGUUGCGGGCGGCGGGGUAGACCCGGGCAGUUUGGCCCCAGUCCUCACCCCUCUGAGGGCCGAAGUCCGCCCUGCGCUGCGUGGGAGGCUGGCGCGGAGGGCGCCGCGGCCCAGUUGUGUCACUUUUCCCGUCCGCCCCCCUGUUGACUAGUCCUCCCAGCGGGGCAGCGAGUUGCCGUGCUGUGCCAGACGUAGAGGGCCCCAGUGUGUGAUGUUCCCUUUCCUGAGUAACACCAUUUUCUAUCUAAAUGAAGAAAUGGAGGCAUGGAAGGUAAGUGACUAGCCAAGGUCACUCACCUAGCCAGCAGCGAAACUGGAUUUGGGCCCAGAUCAUAAGGUCUCACACUUAACUACUGUGCUAUACUGCCUACUCUCUAUCUCUUACCUCAGACAUUCAGGCCCAUCCUCUUCUCCUGGAAAUUUACCUUUAUUUAACUCUAUCACAGCUUACCCAAAUAGUCUAGGUGAAAUGCAUCAGAUAUAAAAAAUAGUUGAUAAAUUACCUGAAGCUGUGCUAACCCCUGAGAAUUGCGUAAUGUACUGGCUCUUAGGAAGGAGGGAGAAAAGGAGUGUUGUAUUUUAACAGAAAAGGUCUUAAUGCAGAUACAUAUAUAGAGUGGUCUUUAAGCACCUUGGCAGGCUGGUGGGGAAGAUGUUUAGGACCUCUGGGGUUCUUUUGACACCUCAUAAGCCACAUUGUUCAGGCAAUCCCUACUUCUGGAAUAAGGCUUGGCCUGGUAGGAGUUGAAUUUGUCAUUGAGAUAAAGGUUUCAGCAUCACUUACUUGAUGGUUCAUCAGUCUGGGUGUUCACUGUGGACCCAGUCUGUUUUUGUUGUUGGUUUUGUUUUGUUUUGUUUUGUUUUGUUUUUUUGUAACAUGGUCUGGUUCUGUCACCCAGGCUAGAGUGCAGUGGCAUGAUCUAGGCUCACCAUAGCCUUGACCUCCUGGGCUCAAGCCAUCCACCCGCCUUAGCCUCCUGAGUAGCUGGGACUACAGGCUCAUGCCACCACACCCAGCUAAUUUUUGUAGAGAUGGGGUCUCCCCAUGUUGCUCAGGCUGGUUUUAAACUCCUGGGCUCAAGCGAUCUGCCCAUCUCGGCCUCCCCAAGUGCUGAGAUUGCAGGUGUGAGCCACUGCACCAGGCUCCCCGUCUGUUUUUAACCCGUUUUCUCCCCAACUAUGUUAUAAUUAAUUACAUAUAUAUAUAUAUAGAGAGAGAGAGAGAGAUGGGUUUUCACCAUGUUGGCCAGGCUGGUCUCGAAUUUCUGGCCUCAAGUGAUCCACCCGCCUCGGCCUCCCAAAGUGCUGGGAUUACAGGCAUGAGCCAUAGCGCCUGGACUAAUUACCCAUAUAUUUGAGGACAAUGUAUUUACCCUUCCCUGAAUCCCAGAUUUAUUCAGAGCUUGUGAUGUGUCAUGGCAUAGUGCUAGGUACUGGUGACAUGAGAAAGAGGAUUUUAAUAUUGAACGUCCCCCGCAGGACUGUAAGGCAUAUUGCAGAAGUGGGUACAUAAAUGCUGUGUGGAUACUUCACUGCCUGAGAGGAGUUAGGGGGAACGACUAAUCUGGGGCUGAAAGGAUGAACAGGAGUUUGAUAGCAGGGCAGGACAUUUGAGAGGAAGGGAACAAGGCCUUGACUGGGCAUAACAAUCAGUCUGAUGCACUGGACCAUAGGAUUCCUUCUGAAAACUGGCAAGAGAUGUCAGUUGGGACCAUCUGCGAAUGGCCUUGCUGUCAUGGCAUUGGAACUUUGCAGAGUGAGCCAUGUGAGCUUUUUGCCUAGGUUUCCUUGUCUAUAAGAUAACAGGAUUCUCCUAGCUCAGAGGACACACACUCAAGUGCCUGCAGGAUUCAGCCAGGUAACACCAUGCCAUGACUCAGGAUUAGUGCUGGCUGAUAUUUGGCCUUGGCCUUGGGAACCAUGGGGACACUGGAACCAUCUAUGAGAGGCUGAAUGGUUACUAGGUGAAAAUGUAGGUUCACUGUUUGCAUAUUUUCUCAUUUUAAAAAGAGAUACUAGAGAUCUGAAUUUUUAUGUGAAGUCUUCAAAAUUUUAAAAUGUUGGCAAUUAAUUACAAUGUUAAAAUGCCAUCUAGACUAAUCCUUGGAAAACCCAAGAAGACAAUGUCUGUGGGUGCCAUUUGUGAUCUCUGGACUGAAUAUCUCUAAGAAUCUGUCUUGCUCCAGCAUUCUAUAACUCCCAGCCACCUGUGAAAUUGUAGGGAACAGCACCCUGGGCUCCAUUUAAUUGUCAAGUUGACUAGACUUUAUUUUGUUUAAGAGUCAGGGCUGCUACUUACCUCUUGGUUGUAGGAAUUUAUAACCUAUUAAGAAAAUUGGAAUUGGCUUUUUACAAAUUUUCUACUUCAUCCACUCUCCAGCCACUACUCUGUCUCCCUCCUUCCUGUCCCCCUGAAUUGAUGAUGUAAGCAGCUGGCAUUGCCUUGGCAAUAUGAUAGGAAACACUUUUUUAGGGCAUCCAUAUCCCGUGGGAACUCUUAUCUGUUUAUUUUCUCCACUUGGCAUCUAUCCACAGGAAGCCAGCAUUCCUAACUCCCUUACCUUACAGAACUUCUUGUUUUGUGAUAACACAGAAACAUUUUAUUGGAAAGGACUGGAAGGCACCUCUCCCACCACACCCUGCAAUCCAUCUUCUAGAGAUGAUUGAGCAAUAUGAAAUAUAAUAAUUGUAAGUCAUUAUCAAAUGGCUUGGCUCCAGAUUGAGAGAAUCAGCAAUUAACCUCUGCCUUUCGUGUUUUAUUUCUGGAGAUACCUGUCUCUUAACCAACCACUAACAUCACACGUAGCACAUCCAGAAUUUAGAAAGGAUUUGCUCUGGGCACAGUAGAUGAGCACACAGAUUCUACAGAGAGAUUGAAGUGAUUUAUUUGUGACAAAUUUUUGCAAGUCUUGGGGAUUGAGUGUAAGGGAGUAUUCAAGCAGUUGGACUUACUAUGUGAAAGAAGACAUAAGACAUAUUUACUGCUCAGCCUGAUGCCUGGCACAUAGUAAGUGCUUAAUUACAAUUAUUCCUACUGCCAAGCACCAUCAUUAUCUUUACUUUCACUGCAAUUAACAUAGAAUGAGCUAGUCUUAUUCUCUAGAGAAUACUUUCUAUUCUUUAGAACUCUAGUUAUAAAAUCAAUAAAAUUCUUUGGUAUAUGGUAUAUAGAUGAUAUGAUUAAAAGGAUCCAUCCAGCCAGGUAUUCUGGCUGCACUGAGACACCAGUGACUAUCUAAAAAACCACUCAAAUGGGCUUACCUCUCAUGGCACUGGGACUUUGCCUACAGGCAGUGGUGAGCCAUGUGAUGUUUUGCUUUGGUUUCCUCAUCUAUGAGAUGAUAGGAUUGCACCAGCUCAGGAGUGGUACACUCAAGUGCCCCAGGAAUCAGAGAGGUAAAAAAUGCCAUGCCUGAGCGUUAGUGCCGGCUGACACUUGGCCUUAGCACUUGGGAGACAUAGGAAUAGUUGGAAGCAUCUAUGGGGCCUGGGCUUUGCCUCCCAUUGGCUAAAUGGUUAGUAUACACAAUCUCAUCAGAUCUUUAUAAACAACUCUGUAGGAUGAAUAUUUUAUUUCCAUUAAAAAGAUGAGAAAAUUGAAGCUUUGCUAGAUGUCAGUAAUUGGUGCAAGGGGGCAGGGUUGUUAAGGUAGAGCAGAAUACCUGUUUCAAAGACCAUUCCUUUCGGGGAGAGCAUGGUAUUUGUCCUUCAUGAAAUCUGCCUUAAAGUUCAGGAAGUUGCCUGCAACUUCUUGACUUCCCCUUAACAACUGACUGUGAAUCUGUCACUUAAAUAUUGUUCUAAAUGUGUCUUUAGCUUGUGUUUUCAGUAACUGUGGCCCACAGUUUCUUAAUGAGAGUCUGAUAAUAAACAAGUUAAACAAUGAAAAAGGGUUCUCUCCUUAGGGCCCUUGCCUGAGCUUGUUUCUAUUUCCUCUGGGAGGAAAAAAGAAAGAGAUGUGUCAGAACAGAGGUGGAACUUCUCAGAGAUUGAGAGAUCCGUCUACUGUAACUUAGUCAUCACCAUCAAUUUUGUUACCUGAGGCAGGCAGAGCUGCUACCUCCCACAGCCUGUGGUUAUCCUCACAACAGAGUUACUAAGCACGGAGCCCUCCAGGCCCCUGCCAAGCGCACCCUGCAUGUGCCUUACGCAAGGUGUCCCUGAGCAUUGAAUGUUGGGUGGGGUGGGGGUUGCCCAAGGUUAUAGCAAUAAAGAAAAAACAUAGUGCCAGGUGCUUCUCUGAAAUCAUUUACCCCUUCUUUUGUAGUUAGGUUUUGGCUUUCAAAAGACAAAAAAAAAAAAAAAAAAAAAAAAAGCUUAUAAACAGUUCAUUCUAAAAGGACAAAGGCAAUAUGUAUUGUAUGCUUAAAAUUUCCAAGGCUCUGGAAAAUGUCUUUGGGAGAAUUAGAAAGUGUAGACUAUAUGCUAAAGCAUUGCAGACCCAGAAGAUAGAUGAUUCAGUUCAUUCUAAUAAACAUAACAUGUAUGGCAUGCUGCAUGCUAGGCAGCAAUGCAAAGAGGAAUAAUAUAUGGACUUUGCUUCAUGGCUCUAGCUGCCUAGGGGAGAUGCAGAUGCUUAAACAGAUAAUACAAUACUGUGGAUUAAAGCUCUAGAAGCCGUGCAGCUUUGGGAGUACAGACAAGGGAUGUCCAACUCUGAGUCUCACCCUUUAAAGAUGUGAGGUCUUGUUAGUGUGUACAUUUUUAUGGAUGAGAGGGAUUGGGCACAGUUAUUCCCUAACAUACACAUUCCCUUUGAAGCUGGGAACUGCAAGGAAUGUGCACAUUCCUGAGAGAUUAGAAAACAUCUAAAAGUGAGAACUUUCAGGUGAGCCUCUUAAAAUGCAUUGAUUACAGAUGGGACCGACCCUUUGGGUGCUAUUGAAAAUUCUUAUCAUUAUGGAUCCUUCUUUCAGAAGGGGAAAGAGAAGGGAAGUGACAUUUACAGGGCACCGCCAUGGGCCAAACGCCUUACAGGUUCAUGUUCAGGAGAGCCCUCUGAGAUGAGCUUUUUGACAUCUUUCUAAGCUUAGGGAAUGAAGGCUCAGAGAAGUUAAGCAACUUGUCCAGGAUCAGACAGUUAGAAUGUGACCAAACAAGGAUUCUAAUCCAGGCCUGUCUGACUCCAAGUUCCGUCCUCUUUCUACAUUUCUGCUACACAGUCCUAAUUCCUUGAGUUUUCACUCCCUGUAUGAGUGUUUGCCAUUUUUCUCUCUUUUUUUUUUUGUUACCACCACUUCGCCUUUAUAGAGCCAGCCCUUUACACAUUCCUUAGCACUUUCAGGUGCACUGAUUUGAAGUCUUUGAGCCACUGAUGACUCUAGCUUUUAAAAGGAGGUACAGAUUAAAGUGAAUGGGAUCAUUGCCAUCACGUGAACAUUCCUGUCACCAUCGGUUUGAUCAGAGAACAGGCAUGGUGAUAGCCUGCACUUAUCUUUGCUUCUUUGCUAGGCACUGGGCAGAAUGAUUUAGACAUAUGGAAUCUCUGUUUUCCAGGGACAGAUGACAGAUUCCAGAGGAAAUGGUGCAGUAUAAUUAAAAAUAACUAAGGAAGUAUGAUUUUCUUAUUUUGUGUUUAAAAAAUGGUUGGGAGUUGCCACGGGCAGUCUGAGGCUGCACUAGAGUACUAUGCUGUAACCUGGAAGACUGCUUUGAGAAGGAAGUUAGAUGACUAUAUGAAGAAGGUGUUAGAUAAGUGCACUGAGAUGUGUGUGUGUGUGUGUGUGUGUGUGUGUGUGACAGUGUGUGUGCUGGAGAAGGGAGGUUAAGGAUCAAAGGUAUGGAAUAAGCAAGGGAGAGAAGGCUCAGAAACAAAAAUAGAAAAUAUCAGGCAUCAGGAGAAGAAAGGCUGAACUCUUUGUAGAGGCUUUGAGGCCACGUGGUAGCAAGAAAGAAUGCAGGGGUCAGAGGGUACACUUGCUAUGGUGCGGCUCAGGUUAACCACCUAAUCUCACGGGGUCUCAGUCUCGUCAGUGGUAAAACAGAAAUAAUAAUAUCUCAAGAAUUAUUGGGAGGAUUGAAUGAAGUCUUGUUUCAGCUCUCCAGAAACUGAGAUGUGCCCUCCAAAUGUUUGUGAUCAGCGUCAGCUUGGUUUAAAUCUGAAGCUCCUGGAGAGCCUUUGGGAGGGGAGGGUCACAUUCUGUGGUGAAUAGAGAAAGUCAGCAGUCACUGUGAGCAUGGGGUAUAGCGAGUGAUAAGGAAGAACUGACUUAGCAAGACUAGGUUGUGGAAACAAGAGAAGCUGAAGAGCAACCGUGAAUUAGGACAUUCUCGUGGAUUCAUUUCUUGUUAUCACCACUGAUCCAGACUCCCUCCACCUUUCUUUCCUCUGGGCUUCCUGCACUUUCAUUGCUCUGCUAUUUUGAAUAGAGGAGAAGUCCUUGAGUCCCAGUUCAGGAGAAGCAACUAGAAAGGGCCAGCGUGCAUAGCUGGGCCAUCCUGCAAAUGCUUUUUCCAAGAGCUGCAGCCCUGAAAGCUGGGGCCAGAGAAGGAGGUGGAGGACGAAGAUGGGGUUGGAAACAAACUCAGGGAAAACUUCUAAAGUGACAGAAAGUGAGAAUUGAGACAAUUUCUGCCUGAAAUCACCUGUCCAGCUAUUAGUCAUUAACCCACCUGGAACCAAAUGCAGUUAAUUUAGCACCAUGUUGGAAAGCUUAGAACAUGAACCACAUCCUAGGGCCAGGUUUUGAUCCUUUGUAAAGGCUUCUCUUUUGGAACACAAUUUGGUGUCAGUACAUAGGAACUAACAAGUGUGCUGAGUUGUGAGUCAUCAGCAGUCUGCUUUCCUCCAGAACAUCAUGGGAAAAGAAUGGGCAGACUGCUUCAGAUAAAACCUGGACCCACUCAAACUUUUACUGUAGACUGGAAACAAAACAAAUCGACUUUAAAAAGAAUGUUUUAAAAAUCUAAUUGAACUCAGAAAGGAGACAUAAGCCUCUGUUCUUUGGUUUCAAUGUGGAUCUGAAGUCUUGUUUUGUUUACUGUUCAGUCUUCAGGCAAUCGCAUCAGGUGUUAUUUACAACUCAGUAGAUUCUUGGGGAGUUCACACAGGCCUUUUAAAGCACAUUUGUGAAAUGAUCGUACCAUACUAGGGUUUGGGGAUACAAAGAUGACAGAUGUGGUCCCUGACUUUGAGGAUGACACAGUCUAGAGGAGAGCUUGCAUAAAUAGUGUGUAUAUAAUGAGUGACUUCAUAAAGGUGCAGUAUACAUGAGCUGCUUUAGGAGCCCUGCCUGAACACUGCCCCACACUGGGGUGAAGUCUUCUUGUCACACUGGAUGGUGCUGCUCUUGAGACUUCCAGAGCUUCCUCCAUAAAGCUUGGAAGGGCAAGCUGUGUUUUUCUCUGCUUGGAUAUAAUUUAUUAUGCUUUGGACAUAGUAUCAGCAAAGACUUGAGGAUCCUUUAAUAAGGAUCCUUUAAUUAUGAACUCUCAUUCAUAAGGAAUUGCAUAUUUUUAUUUUAAAUGUCUUUGCACUUCCCUUUGGUAAGCAAUCUAGGGUUCCUAAUGUGCAUAGCCUUUUGGGUAAACGUGUGUUUCUGGUGUUCUAAUGAUAGCUAGUGAAUGUGUGAAUUAUAUUCUUGGCCUUACUUGAAAUGAUGCGAGGUUUCUGUUGUAUAGUGUUAAAGGUGAGCCUGAUUAUUUGAAGCCCUUCCCUAGGCAGUGGGCACAGUGGAUAAGAAGGGAGAGCAUAUUGGGUAAAAUGACAGUGCUCCAGGAUUCCAUUACAUUUAGUGGCAUUUUGGGAUAUUGUUUUAUUUGAUUCCACUGUCGUUCAUGAUAUGCCAUCUGUCUUUAUUUCCUUUCCUUUGUUUGCUUUGGGUUUAAUUUUCUCUUAUUUGUCUAGUUUCUUAAUAUGGAAGCUGAGGUCACUGGUUGAAAACAUUUUCUCUCUAUUAUAAGCACUUAAUGCUAUAAAUUUCCCUCUACUCCUGCUUCAGCUGCAUCCCACAUAUUUUGACAUGUUUUUAUUUUUAAUCUGUUUAAAAGACUUUCUAAUUUCCUUUUUGAUUUUUUUUGACUCAGGUUAUUUAGAAGUGUGUUAUUUAGGAUAUUUGGAUAUUUUCCAGGUAUGAUUCUGUUAUUUAUUUCUAGCUUCAUUUUAUUGUGGUCAGAAAAUAAACUGUGUUUAACUU